rnacentral:rRNA from 1 species
GACGAACGCUGGCGGCGUGCUUAACACAUGCAAGUCGAACGGAAAGGCCCCUUUGGGGGUCCUCGAGUGGCGAACGGGUGAGUAACACGUGAGUAACCUGCCCUUGACUUCGGGAUAACUUCAGGAAACUGGGGCUAAUACCGGAUAGGAAUCCUUGCUGCAUGGUGGGGGUUGGAAAGCUUCGGCGGUUUUGGAUGGACUCGCGGCUUAUCAGCUUGUUGGUGGGGUAGUGGCUUACCAAGGCUUUGACGGGUAGCCGGCCUGAGAGGGCGACCGGCCACAUUGGGACUGAGAUACGGCCCAGACGCCUACGGGAGGCAGCAGUGGGGAAUAUUGCACAAUGGGCGGAAGCCUGAUGCAGCAACGCCGCGGGCGGGAGGACGGCCUUCGGGUUGUAAACCGCUUUCAGCAGGGGCGAAGCUUGUGGUGACGGUACCUGCAGAAGAAGCACCGGCUAACUACGUG